UGGCAUAAUAAAGGCCACAUGGCGACUGU
rnacentral:piRNA from 1 species